rnacentral:rRNA from 1 species
ACGCUGGCGGCACGCCUAACACAUGCAAGUCGAACGAAGUAGCAAUACUUAGUGGCAGACGGGUGAGUAACAUGUAGGUAUCUGCCCUUUGGCCUGGAAUAACACGAGGAAACUUGUGCUAAUACCGGAUAAGUCUUUACGGAGAAAGCUUUAUGCACCAUUGGAUGAGCCUGCACUUGAUUAGUUUGUUGGUGGGGUAAUGGCCUACCAAGACUGUGAUCAAUAGCUGAUUUGAGAGGAUGAUCAGCCACAUUGGGACUGAGACACGGCCCAAACUCCUACGGGAGGCAGCAGUGGGGAAUCUUGCACAAUGGAGGAAACUCUGAUGCAGCGAUGCCGCGUGAGUGAAGAAGGCCCUUGGGUUGUAAAGCUCUUUCGUCGGGGAAGAAAAUGACUGUACCCGAAUAAGAAGGUCCGGCUAACUUCGUGCCAGCAGCCGCGGUAAUACGAAGGGACCUAGCGUAGUUCGGAAUUACUGGGCUUAAAGAGUUCGUAGGUGGUUGAAAAAGUUAGUGGUGAAAUCCCAGAGCUUAACUCUGGAACUGCCAUUAAAACUUUUCAGCUAGAGUAUGAUAGAGGAAAGCAGAAUUUCUAGUGUAGAGGUGAAAUUCGUAGAUAUUAGAAAGAAUACCAAUUGCGAAGGCAGCUUUCUGGAUCAUUACUGACACUGAGGAACGAAAGCAUGGGUAGCGAAGAGGAUUAGAUACCCUCGUAGUCCAUGCCGUAAACGAUGUGUGUUAGACGUUGGAAAUUUAUUUUCAGUGUCGCAGGGAAACCGAUAAACACACCGCCUGGGGAGUACGACCGCA